GGCUGGGGUGGAGGGGAGUAGUAGUAGUUGUGGUGGUGGUGGUGUUCACAAAUACUAUGCAAAAUUAUGGAAAAGCAGUUAAAAGUGGAAUCAUUCCAUAUAAAUGAAGGGUAAAGGACUUCCCUUCCCUUCUUGUCCCUUUUCUUCAAAACCUAGGCAAAUUCACAGAGCACAGACAGAAGAAAGACUUGGUGUAAACAGAAUGGUUGAAGGUGAAGACUGAUCUCCAAUUUUUGCUAUUCUAGGUCCUUCUGCCAAAAUGUGGAGUGACCAAGGAGCCAUGAGGGAAUUGUCUUAUUUCUUACUAUGAUUUGCUACCGCCGCCGCGUCCUGCCCACUCAGUCACCUCGGCUUCCCACAACCAAGUGCAGAAACAGGCCUGAGCUACAAGAGCUGAAUUAACAAGAACAAGCUGGCAGUUGGAGUGUCUGCUCUUGUCUCUGCCAUCUCAAGUUACUGACAUCUUAACCAACUUCCCAAACUCUUCUCAAGUGCAGUCUCCUCUACAGAGUCUUGAUCCUGGCCACCAGAGGUCACUUCUUCCUGCAACUGUGAUGUCAGGCUGCCUAGGAUCUAAUGCUGUCCCAACACGUUCCUGGCUGCGGGACCCUGGGCAGAUGUGAUGAAUACUACUACAAUGACAACAUACAUUUAUGUACCUGCCACGUGCCAGCAGUGAUCCAAGCACUUUAUACGCUAUAUCUACCCUGAAUCAUCACGACAAAUUGUGCUGCUAUUGGUAGGUACUAUGUGAUCAGCUAUUAUUAAUUACAUUAGUACUUGUUUUAUACUAUUAUCAGCUAUUAUUAACAACUAUUGGGAGGUGCUAAUAUCAUCCCUUCCUUAUAGAUAAGAAAAUUGAGGUACAGGGAAGUUAAAUAACUUGUUCAGUGUCACAUGUCUAAAAAAUGCCGGGUCUGCAAAAUAUGGGGAGGCGAUUAAACUGUCAAAACUGCAAUCAUUACGUCAGAAAGAUGCUCCCUUCUAUUCAAAUAGAAUAUUAUGGAAAUAAACAAUAUUUGGAUUGUUAAUUCUUUUUCCCU
rnacentral:lncRNA from 1 species